rnacentral:rRNA from 1 species
CCUACGGGAGGCAGCAGUGGGGAAUAUUGCACAAUGGGGGAAACCCUGAUGCAGCAACGCCGCGUGAGUGAAGAAGGUUUUCGGAUUGUAAAGCUCUGUUAGCAGGGAAGAGGAAGGACGGUACCUGCAGAGGAAGCCACGGCUAACUACGUUCCAGCAGCCGCGGUAAUACGUAGGUGGCAAGCGUUGUUCGGAAUAACUGGGCGGAAAGGAUGCGGAGGCGGUUAAACAAGUUAUAUGUUAAAUAUAUAGGCUUAACCUGUAGAAAGCAUAUAAAACUGUUUAACUAGAGGGCAGGAGAGGUGAGUGGAAUUCCUAGUGGAGCGGGGAAAAGCGUAGAGAAUAGGAAGAACACCAGUGGCGGAAGCGACUUACUGGACUGUAACUGACGCUGGGGCAUGAGGGCAAGGGGAGGAAACAGGAUUAGAUACCCCAGUAGUC